AACAGCUUUAAUGGUCACAUAAGUGCUGUAAAUUUUUUUUUAAUCUAAUGGAUAUUCUCCUGACUAUUUGAAGAUACUGAUUUCGUGAAGCUUGUUAUUGUAUCUCAUAAAUUUUUAUCUUCAUCUUCAUAUCAUUCAUCAUUUUGCUCUUGAGGUCCGUUACCCUGUUGUAUAGCAUUAAUAUGGCCAUAUUGAAAACAUUCAAAGGGAGACUUACAUGUGCUGAGAAAAUCUAAAGUAUUUGUAGUGGCCGCUGUUUAAAUUUCUGUUGGAAACUCUGGUAACUGUCAAUUUUUUACCUUGCAAAC
rnacentral:misc_RNA from 1 species